GGUAGGACCACUGGACCUGGUGGCUGGCCCGGUCUUCAAAACCGGUGGGGGGCGUGGAAGCACGUCCCCGGGAGGUUCGAUUCCUCUGUCCUACC
rnacentral:tRNA from 1 species